GGCACAGCAUCGACUCCCUCUAAUACUAUGGAGCAGGAUGGCCACAAACUGGGCCAAAGUGUAGGACUUUCUAAGCGAUUUUAACUCAUUACAGACCAAUAUCUAAUCGAUCAGUUAAAUGACAUUAUUGUUGCUCUUGAUGAGAAGCAACGUCAUGCAUCAGUUUUUAUUGAUCCGUCGAAAGUGUUUGACACCGCUGACCGUAAUAUUUUAAAAAACUUCGACUCCUCUGUUAACAAAUUAUCUCAGUAAUAAGCCUCAAGGGGGCGCCACAGGGUUCUGUAUUAGGUCCUCUUUUGAAUUCUGCUCUCUACCAGAAAAACCUGAAGGAGAACCUUCGGCCAUCAGUUCGUGACCUCAAGCUGAAGAGCACUUGGGUUCCGCAGUAGAACAACGAUCUGCGAUCCUCCAGGUUCGUCUCCUCGGGUCGGUCGGGUUUCAUUCCUCCAGGUUCGUCUCCUCAAGUCGGCAGGGUUUCAUUCCUCCAGGUUCAUCUCCUCAAGUCGGCCAGGUUUCAUUCCUCCAGGUUCGUCUCCUCAGGUCGGCCAAGUUUCAUUCCUCCAGGUCGGCCGGGUUUCAUUCUUCUUGGUUUGUCCACUCGGGUUGGCCUGGUUUCGUUCCUCCAGGUUCAUCUCCUCAGGUUGGUCUCCUCAAGUCGGCCAAGUUUCAUUCCUCCAGGUUGGUCUCCUCAAGUCGGCAGAGUUUCAUUCCUCCUGGUUCAUUCACUCUACCAGAAAAUCCUGAAGGAGAAUGUUUGGCCAUCAGUUCGUGAUCUCAAGCUGAAGAGCACCUGGGUUCUACAGCAGAACAACGAUCCAAAACACACCAGCAAGUCGACGUCUGAAUGGCUUAAAAAAAAAAAAAGACUAAAGGAAGGUUUUGGAGUGGCCUAGUCAAAGUCUGGACUUGAAUCCAACUGAAAUGCUGUGGUAAGACCUUAAAAAGGCCGUUCAUCCUCGAAAACCCUCCAGUGUUGCUGAAUUAAAACAAUUCUGCCAAGAGGAGUGGACC
ensembl:lncRNA